AAGGAUUCCCUCAGUACGGGCGACGGAAGCGGGAAAAGCCCACAUUGGUAAUCUCCGGGCGCUAGCUCGGCGAAUUGUAAUCUGAAGACGAUUAGUCCACCUGGACCGGGCGCCGAAGUGCCGCACGAGAGCGCCGCCAUAGAGGGUGAGAGCCCCGUAUGGUGCCAGGUCCUACCCGGGCUGAUUGUCGAAGAGUCGUGUACUUUGAUACUAGUGCACUAAGCGGGAGAUAAACUUCUUCUAAGGCUAAAUAUAAGUAGGAAACCGAUAGCGAACAAGUACUGUGAAGGAAAGAUGAAAAGCACUUUGGAAAGAAAGUUAAAAGACUUGAAAUCGUUGAGGCGGACCCGGUAGAAAUGUAUUCUAGCGAAACUCUCUGGGAAGCCUGUACGCGGGCCACUUGAGGGUUAGCCGAGACAAGAUGGGGUCGUGAGAUGCCAGAGGCUUUGUACCAGGAUGCUUGCGUCAGGGUAUGAUAGUCGGGUGUCUUGCGGCUCGAGGGGCUUUGAGCGAUCUUGUCAAAAUGGUUUUUACCGACUCGUCUUGAAACACGAACCAAGGAGUCUAAGACUAACGCGAGUAUGGUGGUGGAGAAACCAACAUGCGAAAUGAAAGUAAACGAUGCCAAGCUCCCUGCAGCAUCGACCGACUUUUUUCUUCUGGAAGAGGUUUGAGUAAGAGCGUUAUUCUUAGGACCCGAAAGAUGGUGAAACUAU
rnacentral:rRNA from 1 species